rnacentral:tRNA from 1 species
AAGAGUUUAAGACCAUUUGAGUAGCUGCUAACUAACUUUUAAAGCGGUUUAAUUCCGUUUAACUCUUA